AUUAUGCUAUCAAAAAUCAUAGAUAAUAAAGAUAUCUUUAUUAUCUAUGUCAAAAAUAUACUUAUUAAUAGUUUUGAUAAUACGUAGUUGGUUACACUGUAAACCGUAUGUUUAAGUCAAAUUUAUUUUCUUAUAGAUAAAAUUUUAUGUAAAGGUUACAAAUUUGUUUGCAAUUAUAAGGUAGCUUGGAAUUCAAGUCUAUAAAAUAUCCUGAACUUAAAGUCUUUUGCUAAAUAAACACCUUUGUAUUUCAAUUUACUUUAGAAUCAUGUUUGGAUUAACGAAAUUAGCCCAGCCUUUGGCCAAGCAAUCCUUACAAGUAAUUUCCAAGAGAACAAAUAUUACUGUUAAUGGUCCACCUCAAGUCAGAAUGCCAAAAUGGCAACAAUUGCUUAUCGGAGGUACUGCAUCUGGAUCAAUCUUGAUCAUACCUAUUUGGGUUCUGUAUGAUCUUAAAAGUCUUCCACGAGCAUAAUUACUAUACUUCAUGUUUUUGUUGCAUUAUUAUAAAAUUAGAUAUGUACUAUGUAAACAUUUUUUUCUAUUGAAAUAAAAUGAUAUUGUAGUUAAAAUACUACCAACUGUAUAA